rnacentral:rRNA from 1 species
UACAGAGGUCUCGAGCGUUAAUCGGAUUCAUUGGGCUUAAAGCGUACGUAGGCGGAUGUGCAGGCAUCGUGUGAAAUCCCCUGGCUCAACCAGGGAACUGCUCGGUGAACCGCACGUCUUGAGGCAAGUAGAGGCUGUCGGAACGAUAGGUGGAGCGGUGAAAUGCGUAGAUAUCUAUCGAAACGCCGAAGGUGAAAACAGGCAGCUGGGCUUGAUCUGACGCUGAGGCGCGAAAGCUAGGGGAGCAAACGGG